GACGUAGGGCGCGAGCGUUGUCCGGAUUUAUUGGGCGUAAAGAGCUCGUAGGCGGCUUGUUGCGUCAGCUGUGAAAAACCCGCAGCUCAACUGUGGGCUUGCAGCUGAUACGGGCAGGCUUGAGUUCGGUAGGGGAGACUGGAAUUCCUGGUGUAGCGGUGAAAUGCGCAGAUAUCAGGAGGAACACCGGUGGCGAAGGCGG
rnacentral:rRNA from 1 species